ACUUAUUUACAUCAUUUUAAAUUUAAUGAAAUGCUGUACGUAAGGAUAAUAGCUUCAAAAUUCUAAUAUAUACUUGCAAAAAUAGGUAAAAAGGCUUUAAUAGACUCGUUUGGAAAGUACACCCUGGUGUGUAGGCAACUCGUCUAACCCCAUGACUGUAAAAGCGGCCAUGUAUUUAGCCAUUUUGUAUGUAUAGAACCCGACAACUAAAGGCGAAGGAUCAGGAGAACAUAAACCAAGAAGGAUAAUUGUACAUUUUUGCGAGAGGCCAUGAAAAUGCCGAUAAUGUCGUUUCCUAUAUUGACAUUGACUGAGUAGUAAAUUAACCUCAAAGGCAGAAACAGUUGUUUACUUUUUUCAUCAUUAAAGUGAACGUUUUUUUGUGAUUCUACCUUCUCCUACUAUUUCAAAAUAUGAAAAUGGAACUUCAAUUGAAAGUUUCGUUCAUGGAAUCGACUCUCAUGUUCGGUCUGGCUAUUGGGUGAAAUGGAACUUAUUGCUCUGGCUUAGCUGAUCCCAAUGCAGGGGGGUUUGGGAUGGAAAACUAGGUCUUGGCUUUGCUGUUGAAACAGUUACACAGUACUCAUAUAGACGUUAGCGUAAUUAAGACCAAUGGCCACUUUCAAAGUACAUAACCAGAUCGAAAGCCUCGGGCCACUUUUUGUAUUGCAAUUGAAGAUAAAGUGAUUCCAAGAUGAGAAGUUCCACAAAAAACUUGAGA